GGACUACCAGGGUUUCUAAUCCCGUUUGCUCCCCUGGCUUUCGUGUCUCAGCGUCAGCACACUCCCAGCAACCUGUUUUCACCAUCGGCGUUCCAAACGAUAUCUACGCAUUUCACCGCUCCACCGUUUGUUCCGGUUGCCCCUAAGUGGCUCAAGGCACCCAGUAUACCGAGCAGUUCCACGGUUGAGCCGUGGGAUUUCACAAGGUACUUAGGCACCCGCCUACACACGCUUUAAGCCCAGUGAUUCCGCCUAACGCUCGGCACCUCUGUCUUACCGCGGCGGCUGGCAC
rnacentral:rRNA from 1 species